rnacentral:misc_RNA from 1 species
GGCAGAGGUGAGCCAGCAGAAAUAUGAGUAUGUGCAAGCACUUGCAGAGGCUUUAGAUGGACAGCCUGAGGUCCCUCCAAGGUAUAUCAGGCCGGAAGCUGAGACUGAUCCAGUGGAUGGCGGAGGCGGCGAAGAAAUCCCGAUUGUCGACCUUGGCAGUCUGAUUGAUCCCCAGUCCUCCGAGGCCGAGUUCCGCAAGCUUAAGUUUGCUUGCGAGGAGUGGGGCUUCUUCCAGUUAAUAAAUCAUGGUGUUCCCAGAGAAGUAAUUAAUCAAAUGAAGGCAGACAUGAUUGAAUUUUUCAAGCUUCCCCUUGAAGAGAAGAAGGCAUAUGCACAGUCACCAAAUAUGCUCGAAGGCUAUGGUCAAUUCUUCAUUACCUCUGAGGAUCAGAAACUUGAUUGGGGGGACAAGUUCUUCUUAGUAACUCGACCGGUUGCCUCACGAAAAAUGAAACUUUGGCCUUCUACCCCUCCAAACUUCAAAGAAACAUUAGAUAAAUACUCAUCAGAGCUAAAGAAACUCGCCGAUAUUCUAUUGAAUUUGAUUGCUAAUGACCUGGGGCUGGAUCCGGAGGUUCUCUUAAAUAUUUUCAAGGACCAGCCGCAAGGUUUGGGGAUGAAUUAUUAUCCACCAUGUCCGAAGGCAGAAAAGGUGUUGGGCAAUUCGCCCCACACAGAUUUAAAUGGCUUUACAUUCCUUCUUGAAGUUAAUGAUGUUCAAGGUUUACAAAUAAGGAAGGAGGGGAAAUGGGUUCCGGUUGAACCUAUGGUGGAUGCUUUUGUUGUCAACAUUGGUGAUGCUCUUGAGAUAUUGAGCAAUGGGAAAUAUAGAAGCAUCGAGCAUAGGGUAAUGAUAAACACCGAGAAAGAGCGUCUCUCUGUUGCUGCAUUUCAUGGACCAGAUGAAGGAUAUAUGCUUGGUCCUCUUCCAGAACUUGUGAGAGAAGGCAAAGCGAAUUACAUGACUAUAAGCCAUGCGGAGUACAAGGAGAAAUACUUAUUUGAAAAU